rnacentral:rRNA from 1 species
CCUACGGGAGGCAGCAGUGGGGGAUAUUGCACAAUGGGCGCAAGCCUGAUGCAGCGACGCCGCGUGAGGGAAGAAGGUUUUCGGAUUGUAAAGCUCUGUCCUAUGGGAAGAUAAUGACGGUACCAUAGGAGGAAGCCCCGGCUAACUACGUGCCAGCCGCCGCGGUAAU